rnacentral:rRNA from 1 species
GAUGAACGCUGGCGGCGUGCCUAAUACAUGCAAGUCGAGCGAACAGACGAGGAGCUUGCUCCUCUGACGUUAGCGGCGGACGGGUGAGUAACACGUGGAUAACCUACCUAUAAGACUGGGAUAACUUCGGGAAACCGGAGCUAAUACCGGAUAAUAUAUUGAACCGCAUGGUUCAAUAGUGAAAGACGGUUUUGCUGUCACUUAUAGAUGGAUCCGCGCCGCAUUAGCUAGUUGGUAAGGUAACGGCUUACCAAGGCUACGAUGCGUAGCCGACCUGAGAGGGUGAUCGGCCACACUGGAACUGAGACACGGUCCAGACUCCUACGGGAGGCAGCAGUAGGGAAUCUUCCGCAAUGGGCGAAAGCCUGACGGAGCAACGCCGAGUGAGUGAUGAAGGUCUUCGGAUCGUAAAACUCUGUUAUUAGGGAAGAACAAAUGUGUAAGUAACUAUGCACGUCUUGACGGUACCUAAUCAGAAAGCCACGGCUAACUACGUG